UUUUAAUUAGUGUAAUUUAAACACUUAACAUUUUCAUUGUUAAAUUCUCUUUGAGAUUAAAUA
rnacentral:tRNA from 1 species